AGUCCGGCGCCACGCGGCGAGACUUUCUUGAACCGGGUCAGGUCGGGAACGAAGCAGCCCUAAGGGGAAGUUCUCGGGCGCCGUGGAUGUCCGGGCUUCC
rnacentral:SRP_RNA from 1 species